AUCGCUUCUCGGCCUUUUGGCUAAGAUCAAGUGUAGUAUCUGUUCUUAUCAGUUUAAUAUCUGAUACGUCCUCUAUCCGAGGACAAUAUAUUAAAUGGAUUUUUGGAGCAGGGAGAUGGAAUAGAGCUCCGUCCACUCCACGCAUCGACCUGGUAUUGCAGUACCUCCAGGAACGGUGCACUCUCC
rnacentral:snRNA from 1 species